AAAGAAACGAACUAAUCAUUAAAUAUUUAUUUUAAAAUUAUUAUUUUAAAUAAGUUUCAAUAACAUGCAACCGGUAGAGGGCUUUUUUCUCAGCGGAAUCUUUAUGUGGUCAUUAGUGUUCUCGUUUUCAAGCCUCGUGUUUCGUAUCCGAGUAAAAGUGAGUCCUAAAUAAACGACAUGCAUGACCAUAAAUAUACUUCCCAUGUCGACAAAAAACUCAUGUCAUUUAGUGAAUUGCCCGUGUCUAUUAUAAAAUUAAAAGAAAUAGAUAGGAUAAAAUGUUUCAUGUAUGAUAAUCGCUAUUAUUUUUAUUUCUAACCUCCUUCGUACCCUACUAACCGCGCGUCAUUCUAUUUAAGUCAAGGAAGUGAUGAAUAACGUGCGAGUUUGACAUAAUUUUCUCAACGAGUGGGUCGAAUAUCAAGGUGUAAAUCCUAAUCUAAUGUAUGUGUUGUAUCUAAUGUAUUUGCUGCCUGAAAAUGUCCGAAAUUCUAAGCACGACCGUUAACCUAACGUUUAACUGUAUAAUUAUGGCGCAACUUGUCCGAAAAGAUUCUCUUUCUCUUCCCCUUCGUCGCUUCGUCAUUUUAUGAAUUAUGUACUAUGCGUACAGAUUUGACAUCCAGCUGUAAUGUCAUGAUCCUUCUUAUCUGCCAGGGGAUAAUAGUAAGUCUCGUUAAUGAGAGUUAUUAGCAAAUAAUACGAGGAUUCAUGAGCGUUUCUUUUAUGAAUACAAUAUCUACGUAAAUAGUUCUUUAACGAAGAAUGAAAUAAUGAUUAAAACGAAUGUUCUCGUUUAUUCUAUCUUUUUAUUAUUCUAUUCUUUUUUCAAAUUUAUAAUCCUUGAUAAAUCCUUGCAAAAUUGCAAGGCGUCGAAGGACUCGCUCGCUGUUUCGCUUCAGUUCAUGAUCGAGAAAAAUGAUCGUAUUUAUAUAAAUCAGCAAUUUGAUUAAUUUAAAGCGGUAAGCAGUGUGUCGAAUGUAUUCCAAUGAUAUUGUUUAUUUUUUACGCAGUAUAUUUGCAAAGUGGUAACGGUGGCAUAGCUACAAUGUAAUUAUAAAAUGUUGCAAUGGCAACCGGUGCAACGAACUCACGAAUAAAUUCUCGAUGCUAUUGAGAAACGCUUAUGAUCUAAAGAAUGGUUUCAUUGAAAUUACAUAUAAUGAAUGAUACACACGUAAUGUAAUAAUUUUUCUUAAAUUAAAAAAUUUUUCAAUGAAACACUCGAUUACGAAUGAAAAUGAGUUAAAGAAACAAUGUAACGAGUCGUGAUGAGUUUUCACGACAUCUGGCCAUGGCGCAACGUAAGUUGGAUGGAAAUAGUAUUAUGUAAAAUCCGAGCAAAAAUUUCAACCACAUAGAAAAACUUUUGUUAAGAACCUCGAGGAUACCUACUUACCUACAGUACCGAGGAAUUGGACACCGACUUUGCCGAUUAGUCAAACUAUCGAUCGUUCUCAAAUUGUCGCUUCUCUUUUUUUGAUUCGUAGCUCGAAUUUAUCGGUUUAUAAUAUGAUGGCAAGUAUUUAUUUAUUUAUUUAAGCAUUGUCAAUUCUGAUUUGUAGAAAUCCGACAUAAGUCAAACUCAACUAAAUAUUUCUUUCUUUCGUAUUACCGACUCGUUCAAGAAUGAUGAUCAAAGAUAGGAAGCGUGGAAGCGAGUAAGAACAGCGGCUUAAAUCAUUAGCAACAAUAUAACGAUCGAUCAAGAGAGCUGACGUACGUACAAGCUGAAAAGAAGCCAGCGGCAAGUUGCAAUAGGGCCAAUUUCUCUUUAUCAAUGAUCGCCCUGUGGUUUUCUCCGUGGUCAUAGCAUAGUAUGUGUACAUGUAACACAUGGGACACGUUAUAUACUAGCCAAACGCAUAAACUGUUGCUGCGUGCGCGUACAAGUUCAAGAACAAUGGCAGUUCACGAUCUGUAUAAUGUAUGUAGUGGGUAUACACGAUUUUGCCAUGCGACGGUACUGGCUCAUUGUGGUGGCGGCGGCGGUGGCAGCGGGCAGCUCUCGUGCCACUGACCCACAAACAUACUUACCUAUGUUAUACUAUGCUGCUAUAUACAUCGUUCUGCCGUUGUCGCUAUGCUUUAAUGCCCGUACACACCGCGUUUCCGCCUCUCGAAACACGCUUGUGUACGUCGUCCUUGGAAGAUUUACUUGCGGACCUGAUUGCAAUCCUGAUGCUGGCUCGUGAAUUUUUCAUUCGAGACUUCAUGCACCACCGUGAACCGAAAGUAACCGCGUGUUCGAGCAACGAGGGCGGUAAUUUUACGGAUAGAAAGAAUUGGAUUUCCGUUGGAAAAGAGUAUCGUAUCAUGGCUCGAUGUGUUUUACUUACGGUUUCAUUUUACUUUGGCGCUUAUUAAAAAGUUGCGUUCUGGAAUGGUCGCUCUACGAUGAAGAUUAGAUCCUGCGUACAUUAAAAUUCUCAACGUUCGUGUAUCCGCGUUAUGCAUAUUGAUAUUACUUCACUCCUGACUUUGUGCGUUUCCAAUAAUUAUAUUAUACAUGAAUUUUAAAAAAAAGAAAACGGAAACCUAAAUUUUCAUAGGAAUGUACAAAAAUAACAGAUUAAUAUUUCAAAUUAGAAAAAUAUUUAAAAACUAUAUAACUCUUUAUUAUAGUAAAAAGUUAAAUGAUAUUCAAUAAUUAUAAAGAGGUUAUAUUAAAUUACAGGACAAAACUGGAAGAGCAAGGCUGAAAUCCUGCACGGAGUGGCGGAGAGCGGUGGACGAAAAAAGAGUUGAGUAGUCGAUUCGCUCGACUUUUUGCCAUCAUCGUCAUGAGGGGAAUCGUCACGAUGGAAGGAGAAAAUGGACAACCAUGGCUGCGUUGCAAAAUCGAAUGAGCAACUUCACUCCUGACUUUGUGCUCCAAUUGACCUGGCCAUUUGAGAGAACAAAAGCCUUUGAUGGAUCACGGGGCCCGGUAUAAUCGCACAUGACAUUGCGAAGAAGUGGAAGAAGAGAAAAAAGGGAGACAUAUUGUUGUUAUUAAAUUUUUAAAUACGCAGAUAGUAGCCAUUGGACUGUAAUAAUGUAUCUAUUAGUCAUGUAUAAUCAUAUUAUAUAUGAAUUUUUAAAAAAAGAAAACGCGCUUAAAUUUUCAUAGAAGUGUAUAAAAAUAUCAGAUUAAUAUUUCAAAUUGGAAAAAUGUUUAAAAAUUAUAUAACUCUUUAUUGUAGUAAAAAGUUAAAUGAUAUUCAAACAAUUUGUUAUAAAGAAAAGAAUUUAUAUAUCAAAUUAUAGGUGAGUCC
rnacentral:lncRNA from 1 species